UACGUAGGUGGCAAGCGUUGUCCGGAUUUAUUGGGCGUAAAGCGCGCGCAGGCGGUCCUUUAAGUCUGAUGUGAAAUCUUGCGGCUCAACCGCAAGCGGUCAUUGGAAACUGGGGGACUUGAGUACAGAAGAGGAAAGUGGAAUUCCACGUGUAGCGGUGAAAUGCGUAGAGAUGUGGAGGAACACCGGUGGCGAAGGCGGGUCUCUGGGCCGUAACUGACGCUGAGGAGCGAAAGCAUGGGGAGCGAACAGG
rnacentral:rRNA from 1 species